GACACUGGACUCGGGAGGAAACUUUAGCUUUAAUUUCGGUAUGGAGUGAACCUACAUUCCAAUUUCAAUUUGAACACUGCGUACACAAUCACAAAGUUUGGCAGGAAAUCUGGAAAAAAGUUUGUCAGGUUUGUCCUUCGAUACAAAACACGUUCGACUCCAUGAAAUGCAAAGACCCCAUUGAAUAUCUCAAGUGACUUUAUCGGGACUGCGUGAAGCACAACAACAAGACCGGGUCUGACCCACAACGUUGCCCAUAUUAUGAUGAACUGGACUCUGUUCUUGCAUGUCGCCCUAUGACUAACCCUGGGGAUGGACAUAUGGAUAUGUCAAGCUCAGAUGAGCAAGAACAUUCAUCUAGCAGUGCAGACACAUCUGGAGUAUCAGAUAAUGUACCAGACCAGCCAGCAGCAGCAGUGACAGCAUCUGAGAAUAAUAGCAGUGUUAUGUCUCAGCAGACCUCAAAUCGUGGCCAAAAUCCCAC